GCUAAAAAUCUAGCCUAUUUUACCCUAAUGAACAUACCUAUUUUUAAAAAUAAAUUAAAACAUUUUAACAUUUUAGUAGGGGAGACCAAAAAAUUAACUAGAGCUACAAAAAUAGUACCGCAAGGGAAAGAUGAAAUAAUAAUUAAAUAACCUCAAGCACAAAAAAGUAAAGAUUCUCCCUUGUACCUUUUGCAUCAUGAUUUAACUAGUUCAACCAAGCAUAAAGCAUUAUAGUUUGACACCCCGAAACUAAGUGAGCUACUUCAGGGCAGCUUUAAGAGCAAACCCGUCUCUGUUGCAAAAGAGUGGGACGACCCUCAAGUAGAAGUGACAGACCUAACGAACUUAGUGAUUGCUGGUUACUCAAGAAAGGGAUUUUAGUCCAGCCUAAAGCUUUUACUAUAAAUAAAAAUUUUAAAGCUUUAGAGUAAUUCAAAUAAGGUACAGCCUAUUUGAAAUAGGGUACAACCUCAACUGACGGGUAAUAAAUUUAGUUACUUAACUUAGUGGGCCUAAAAGCAGCCACCUCUAAAAAGCGUCAAAGCUUAAUUAAUUUAUCUAAUCAAUUUCUUCAUUCAUCUCCAACCCUCUUCUAUUAUUGAGUAAUUCUAUAUAAUUAUAGAAUUUAUUAUGUUAAAACUAGUAACAAGAAGCUAACCUUCUCUUAAAUGUAAGUAUAAAUCAGUAAGGAUAACCCGCUGAUAAUUAACGUCUUUGAAUAUAUAUUAGUAACUACACAAGAAAAACCUAGUAUAAAUUACGUUAAACUAACACAAGAACACUUCAAGAAAGAUUAAAAGAAAAAGAAGGAACUCGGCAAAUCUUAACCCCGCCUGUUUACCAAAAACAUCGCCUCUUGAAUUAAUAUAAGAGGUCCAGCCUGCCCAGUGACUCCAAUUCAACGGCCGCGGUACCCUAACCGUGCGAAGGUAGCGUAAUCACUUGUUCUUUAAAUCAGGACUAGUAUGAAUGGCACCACGAGGGUUACACUGUCUCCUUUUUCUAAUCAGUGAAACUAUUCUCCCCGUGAAGAAACGGGGAUACUCUUAUAAGACGAGAAGACCCUAUGGAGCUUUAAAUUUUAUUUCAACUGCUUACUUUACAUUAACCGUUCAGACCUCCUACCUCUAACCAAGCAUAAUGAUAAUAAAUUUUAGGUUGGGGUGACCGCGGAGCACAAAAAAACCUCCGCAUUGAACUAGGCUAAUAAACCUUGAACAAAGAGCCACAACUCUAAGCACUAAUAUAUUAACAUCUAUUGACCCAAUAUUUUUGAUCAAUGAACCAAGUUACCCUAGGGAUAACAGCGCAAUCUACUUUGAGAGCUCCUAUCGACAAGUGGGUUUACGACCUCGAUGUUGGAUCAGGGUAUCCCAGUGGUGCAGCCGCUACUAAAGGUUCGUUUGUUCAACGAUUAAAACCCU
rnacentral:rRNA from 1 species